rnacentral:lncRNA from 1 species
UGGUAAAGAAGGAUGAAAUAUAAGAGAACAAAGGUAUUCAAAUAGAUCAUGGCAGAUCUGCCAGAAACAUCAUUAUGAAUUACUAAAGCAAAAUGAUAGGAACAAAGGUCUAGUUGAUAUUCCCAGAACAAAACAGGUGGAUAUGAACGCACUGCUUACCUCUCAAGUGAAAGACCCCAUGCCAUCACCUGCACAUCUUCCGGAAGUCCCAUUGGCCGCAACAUUUCUGGUCUAAACGUACCCGAGUUUCCGAUUUCAACCCAUUUCUUAAGACCUUCAUGAUAGCUGACAGAAAAACAGUUUAUUAGCUUGCAUUCAAUGGUAAAGCCACAGCCAUGAUAGAGGACUUCUUUUAAUCAUCACCUGAAGAUUUCCAUGCUCGGUUCAGUAUAAGGAUUGUAGGCAGGCUUGAACUUAAGCUUAGACAUCCCUAAAAAUGAAAGUAUUUAACUUCCAACUUCGACAUGAGUCACCAUAUCAAUAUAGUCCAAAUUUUAAAAGGAUCAAGUGUGCAUGACCAACUAACCCAUCAAAACAUUUGCAUGCCAAAACACAGUAUAUGGAGGUUGUGUCAAUACAAUAUUGGCACCAAAAUGCCAAACAUGAUUAAUAUAUGAGGUCGCCAUAUAACAUCACAUCAACAGAAAUGAAAAUUAUCAAGUUUCCGGUGCAAGAUUUGAUAUCAAUGCUCUCACCUCUCCACCAUUUGACCCCCAGAUUCUUGGGCAACGAGUCAUGGCCAUUUUUUGUGGAUCCUGCCGUUUUCUUGCUAGCCCAUCGCCUCAACACCAAACUCAGUCCCUCUCCGGAUAAUCUAUAAUCUCAAAAUAUGUACAUUAUGAUUUAUGUUCCAAGACAAUUGCAACUCCACUAGUUUUGCAUAAAAAAGGGGAUAAAGUUCAUACCAGUAGCUGAACUGUAAACAGGUAUGUUAGAGAUCAGAUCCCUAAUACUUAAUCUUCUGCACAGAGAUGCAACGGAAUUCAUGAUGUUUGCUUAAUCGCAGCAGUAGAUAAAUCUGAUUCAGGAUAACAUGAUGAUCAAUGUCAAUAAUUCUGAAUUAAAAAUUAUCACACCAAUUUUAGCAGUUAACAGAAUCAGAAAGCUGAAAAUCGAAAUACAAAGAGUAUAAAGCUGAAGAAUACAGCCGAUGCCGGUAACCUAAAAAAUUAUGGUGCUAAAGUUCAAAUUUGCAGAAAUAUCGCAUAAAUUUGGGGGCGUGGGAUGUCAAUCUCCAUUCCUAAUUCUGAGAAACUCCAAUGUGAAAAAAGAGGGUGACAAUUGUCUUUGAAAUAAGUGGUUCAGACAUUUCAUCAAACACCUUAUACGAAAGCACAGCAUAAGGCAGCAUAAAGCGAGACGCUUCACACUCCUGGAAAAUUUAUAGUCCACCGGAAUUCCACCGGCGGCGAGAUGAAGAAGAAGACUGACUGCGUGCGAGCGUGUGUCUCAGUGAGAGAGAGAGAGAGAGAGAGAGAGAGAGAGAGAGAGACAACCUGCGACCCGCCCCAGUGAAGAUAGGCGGCCCAGUUUGUAGAAAGCGGUCUUUAUAUGCGGUCAAUGAACCGGGCCGGGUCUGUUUGGAAUAAUUUAAAGAUGCACGAAAACGAGAACAAAUUAUUCCCUCAAUAAAAGAAAAAAAGAAAGGUAAUUAAUCAAAUCUUUAUUAUUAUUAGUAAUAAAAUAGUAAUAGUAGUGAUAGAAAAAGUAGUAGUAGUAGUAUUCAAUUCUAUUUUUUUAUAUAAUAAUUUAAUGUUAUAGCGUAUGAAAGGUCUACGUAAAUAUACGAUGAAAGAUUCCAUAUAUCAAUUCAUCAAACAUUUGUAUAUUAACAUAUCAUUAGUCGGAUAUUUCCGAAAAUACCAUUAGUCGGAAGAGUUUUAAAACAAGGUGUUGCCUUAAAUUGCAUUUAAUGUAAAUUUACAUUUUUCUAAUAAAGGACAAUUUAUAUAGAGUGUACAUGUACUUUAGAUGAUUAGUUUUGAUACAUAAAAAUAAUAAGAAUAACUCAUUAUUUAUUUUGAUGGAUUAAAAUUUGGGAUAUUCCAAAAUUCUUAAUUAUUUAUAUUAUUUGAGUUAAUUUUGCUUUAUUCAUAUCUCACUGAAAAAAUGAAAAAAAAAAUAAAAAAUUCUACUCUUAAAAAUAAAAAUAUUCAAUUAUACAAUGCAUUUUAUUAAUCAUGUAAAAUAAACGUCUUCCUAGUAUUUAGUGAUGUCUUAAACCUAUUGGAAUUGAUCCGUAUAAGAAAAGAAAAAAAAUAAUUCAAAAUAGACAUCAUUCACAAUAUUCAAAAAAUAUCAGGACGCGAAUUUUUCAAGAUUUGACAAUUUGUUUAUUGAGAAAUAUUGCCAUAGAGGAAAAAAGAAUUAUAUCGAAUAUUUUUGGACGUGGUACAAAUCUAUAGUGAAAUUAUCAUUGUAACAUUUUAUAAUUCAUGCCUAGUAUAUAUCAAAAUUAAAUCGAAGUAGCGAUUACUUUUAUAAUUUACCAAGUGACCCUAUUAAGUAUUAACACACCAUAAUCUACAUAUUUGAUUAUGUUUAUGUCACUAAUAAUCCCUGCAUAUAAAAGAAUAUCAUUAAUCGUUACUAGCUUAGAGUGUUGAUAUGAGGUGUGCGUGAGUGAGAAUAUAUGCAAAUAAAUAAAUAAACAUAAUUAAUUAAAAUGAUAUUGAGUAUUUCACCAGCUUCAAGCAAUUUAAAAAUGGUGUUUUCCAUUAGGCAUUUGCGAUUCAUGAAAUCUGAGAAUUAUCUGUGACUCGACUGCGUUAAAUGUUUCGUAUAAAUCCUUUUUUUUUUGUGUGUGUUUAUGAAUAUUGUAAGGAUAUUUCUGUCAUUGAAUUUUCAGCUUAACUGUUUAAUCUUUUCAGUUUUCCAAGCAUCUCAUUGAGUUUCCAAGGUAUAUAUGCUUAUGCAUCAUCUCACACACACACUAACACUGAGGAUGAGUUUCAAUUGCUGAUUAUUGAGGGUACAACAGGUUUUUCAGAUAUUAGCUUGAAGAGCGAAUAAUCCCUAGGCACUGGUGGAAAACCGGGUUAAUUUCAAGCUGCGGUACAUGUUGGGAGGCUCGGAUGAAGAGUUUCAGACGAGAGUGAGGGAGGCGGUGGAGAGACGAAGGCGAUUUGAAUCUGGUGCUGUUAUAGGUGAAGAAGAAGCAUCAGAUUCUGAAUAUGAUGAUCAACCAGAUAUGAUGUCUGUUUCUCAAGUACCAAAUGACUUGGAAAAUGAUUCAGAGCAUUAUUAGCAAACAGAAUUUCUUCAUUUGUUUUUGUACAUUAUGGUUAGUUACUAGUUCAAUAGCAACAUGUAUAACACUACCAAAUUUUCCUUGUACAUAAUAACAUAAUUAAUGAAAUUGAAUUAUGCUUAUAAAAUUUUUCCCUUGAUAUAGUUAUGGAACCCACAAUGAAGUGAGACAGCAUUGAAACAUGAUAACAAACAAAAGAUGAAUCUCACUAUUGAAAAAUGUAUUAUUUCGACUGAGACAAUACUAACACCCUAUUAAGCAUAACUCAAACUGGAUGGGCUCAACAUGAAUCCAGUUAGCUUGUUGCUCUCAAACUUGACGCAUCCUUCCUUCAAGGCGUAGAGUCGACCCAUGCCAACGUAGUUCCCUUUGACGAAAAAUGAUGUUUCUGGGAAUCUUUCUCUGCAACAUUCGCCUUACAAAGUAAUAUGAUUAUCAAUCUCAUCAAUUCUGAAUUCAAAAAAUGUCAUGCCGAUUUUAGCAGUUAAUUAAAAUCGAAAUACAAAACGUAUAAAGCUGAUCGAAUUCAGUAACCUAAAAAAUUAUGGCGCUGUUGGAAAUCACGAAUAAGGCAGCAUAAAACGAGACGCUUAACACUCCUGGAAAUUUUCUAUUUCAACGGAAUUCCCCCGGCGGCGAGGCGAGCCGAAUAAGACGACUGAUUGAGUGAAUUGGAUUAUAUACAGAAAAGGAUUAUAUACAAAAAAGCAUAGUAAACAUAAGAAAACUAAGGGUCUGUCUCACCCGACUAAUAACAUAAUAUAAUAUAUAUAUAGGGCCACGCUCCAGCAAGAUCACAUAUUUUUCGUGUAACAUGAUUACAGUGAAUAAGACAUAUAAUACUCACUUCGUCCAUGAUUUAAUGCCCCACUUUGGUGUUGGCACAUAAUACUAUACCCUAUAUAGUAUGAUUAGUAUCUAUUGAGAAUUGUCAUUUAUGUAAGAAUUAAGAAUUAAUAUCCACCUUAGAUAUACCCCAAAUCAACGACUAUGAUUAAACAUUUUGAUGAAUUUCUCUCACCCAUGAAUAACUAUAAAUUGGCCGAAAAUUAUGUAAAUGAGCACUAAUGUAAUUAGCACAUUUUCGGUCAACCCCCUAAUCCCUACAUUUAAGGCAUAUUGUUUACUUUUAUUUUUUUGGAGAAUCAAUAUAUAGCUUUUUUAAUCUUUUCAAAUAGCAUUCUUGGUUUAUCGUAAUCUAAAAUAAAAUUCUAUUUUGCAAAAUUGAGAGUUGUUGAACAUAUAAAUAAUUUUGAUGAAUGAGUCAAUAAUUUUAAUGAACAUACGUAUUAAAUUUUGAUGAACUUUUCAAAAUUAUUGAUUUGAUCAUCAAAAUUAUAUAUCUGUUCAAAAUUUAUUUUGAUGAAUUUUUGCUGAACAUACGUAUUUAAUUUUGAUGAACUUUUGCUGAACAUACGUAUUUAAUUUUGAUGAACUAUUCGUACAUAAUUUUAAUAGAUUUCUGCAGACUUUUAAAAUCUGGGUGUAUUCGUUUAAGACUUUUAAAAGUCUAUGAAAAUCUAGAGGUAUUCGUUCAAGACUUUUAAAAUUCUAUAAAAAUCCACAGGUAUUCGUUUCAGACUUUUAAAAAUCUAUGGAAAUCUAGAGGUAUUUAAAAAUCUAUGGAUUUUAAAAUUUGACUGAUUUUCAUGGAUUUCAUUCAAAAAAUACACAUGAACAAAUCCGACCUCUGACCACGAGAAUUCGAAAGAUUUCAUAUUUCAGCGCGGGCUGGGUUCCAGCGGCUGUGGCUCGAAGAAGCUAGCGGCCGCUGGGUCCUAGCGGUCGUUGGGGGUGAGCGGUGGGAAGCCAGCGGUCGCUGCCCUUCAUAUUUGCUACCCUUCUGAUCACAGUACUUUUGAUAUGCUUGCGGAAUAUCUUUGAUGCUGCAUUGACACCCAAUAAGCACACGUCUACAGAAUAUCAAUCAGGUAAUGGAAGUCUUCUUGUUUUGAUCAUUUUAAUUAUUGCGUAAUGCAUUCAGCACGAAUGAUAUGCUCCAUGCAAUCCUCAGUCUUCUUUCUGGUUGCCUUACUCAGUUUCCAUAUGCUGCAGAUAUCCAGUACCCGUAUAUCAAACAGGCGAGUCGAAUGCUGGGCAACAUCCACGCUCCACCAGCAUAUGCUGCAGAUCAGAAGUGUUUACAAGUUCUAUGAUCAAAUUGUUGGCACUCGCACAAAGCCAGCGGUCGUUGGAACCCAACGAUCGCUGGGAGCUGUCUCAACGCUCAAUUAACUCCAACGAGCGUUGGGAUGGUAGAUUUCAAAUCCGUAAAAAUCAAGUCAAUUCUGUUAAAUCAGUUCAAAUUGUACAGAUUCUGUUUAGAAUUCCAAAAUACAUGAAGAAUCUGUGUGAAAUCUGUAGAUUUUUAAAAUUCAGAGAUUUUAAAAAUCUACAGAAUUCCUGAACGAAUACACCCCCUUAAUUUUGAUAAAGUUUUGUUGAACAUGCAUAUUUAAUUUUGAUGAACUUUUAUUGAACAUACGUAUUUAAUUUUGAUGAACAUACGUAUUUACUUUUGAUGAACAUACAAAAUUAUUGUAUUUGUUCAUCAAAAUUAUUUAUCCGUUCAAUAAUUAUAAUUUCGCGACAUAUUUGCCAAUAAAUUACAUUCGACAAAUUGUAAAAAUUGUUCAUCACAGUUAAUGAACAAACGUAUUCAUAUGACUUAGACACACUAGCAAGCAGGCUUGCUUUGAUUUGACAUACUAAUUAUACUAUAUAUAUAACUGCAUCACUAAUUGCAUUGAUCAAAUACAGUGGCUAGUACAGUAAGCAUAUAUUCCCUCCGUCCCGUUAUUGUUGGCCACAUUCUUUUCGGCACGGAGAUUAAGAAAUUGAGUGUUAUGUUUUAAUUGAGUGUGGCCCACCAAAACUAGUGAGUAAUUUUGGUCUUUUUAGAAAGUGGCCAACAAUUGUUGACUUAAUUAGUGAGUAAUUGUUGACUUAAUUAAAGUAAACUUUGCCAUUUUUAGAAAGUGGCCAACAAUAGUGGGACAAACCAAAAAGAAAAUGUGGCCAACAAUAUUGAGACGGAGGGAGUAUAUAAUAAUAAUAAUCUAGCUCCUGCAUUUAGUUGACAUUGUUGGCAUCCGAAGGAGUGGCGGGAUGUGCGGGACGAAGAAGUUAAUCACAUCACUGCGGAGCAACUAGGUGGCCCUCUCAAUCGAUGCAGCAAAUUUCCCUUUCUGCUCAAGCUUGGACAGAAGCUUCUUUCUUUUAUCCUCCAAACAAGUCCAUGCAAUCGAGAAGAGAUGCGUGAGAAACGUGGACUCCAAGAUCACGAGGAAGGCCGUAAUUGCCAUUACGUUUUCCCCCGAGGUGGCCUUUGACAAUUGAUAGUUAUAUACCACUCCAAUAGCAAUUGGAGUGACCAGCAGUCAUAUGGCCAGCCAACGAAAAUGACGCCUUUUUUGCUCGCGCACCAUCUCAAUUUCCUCGUGUACCUUCUUCAGCAUUUGGUUGGCUUUCUCGUUCAACUCAUUCAGCUUGGAGAUUAGUGUACCCAUCUGGUGGUCAUACCCCAAGUGAUCUAGGAUGCUCAACCCCAUCACAGACUUGAUCCUCUAUAUCGAGAGGAUAGCUUCUCCACCCAGCACCGCACAACUCCCGUCGCUGCUUCUGUCACGGUCCCUCACCCAGCACAUCAACUCCACCGCCCUCUCGAUCCCCGAGGACACAUACCGCAGCUUGUCCUCGAGAGUCUCGAAGGCUGGCGGAUGUGGGAUGGAGGCGGCGAAGCGGAUACGCAAGUCGUAGUCUGCCGAAAUUGAGCUAGCCACUGCCUCAAAAUAUACUCUAUCCAUCUCAGUUAAAUAAAUUUAUUUUUCUUUUCCAAAUGCCUCAAAAUAUAGGUCAUUUUUCAUAAAAGAUAAUGCAUUAUUAAAUUAUUUACAAAUAUAUACAUUUAUUUAAUUCUUUGAUUAAUUCUAGCAUUAAUGUACUGUCAAAUAAUAAAUAUGGGCAUAUUAGGAAGCUACUUGUAUAAUUUUCUUUUCCAAUGAUUUUCUUAAUUCUUGUGCAAAAUUCAAUCUACCUAUAUAUAACUGGGACUAAUGAAGUUUUUUAAAAAAAUCGUGUUGUAUAAUAUGCAUCAAAGAAUAAAAGUUCUAGAAAAUCUUUUUUGCUAAUAUGCAUAAAAAAAUUAGAAAAUCUUUCUUGCAUAGUAGAAAUCUAAAAUAAAAAAAUACUAUAUGAAUAUUUUGAUGGAUAUUUUAACUGGCUAAUAAUACUCGUUGAUAAAAAUAAAUUAAGAUAUUGGUCAUUGAUUUGACUCACAUACAACUAUAAAAAGUCACCUUUAUAUUGUCGUUGAAAAUGAUGCCCAGCUCGGCCCUAUCGGGCCGGUCGAGUCAAAACAUGCCAAAGUUGAACAAAAUUAAUAUACAUCACAAAUUCUCAAUUUUAUAAAACAUAUCAACAACAUAUAAAUACACAACCAUACACAAUCACUACAAAAAUAUCAUAAUUCAACUUAUAUCAAACAUUUAACAAGUAAGUAAUAACUCACAACAACAAAUCUUUACUUCAUUAUAGAACAAAAUGACGGGCCAACUCGAAAGCCCGACGGGCUUUUUUGGCCCAUGGCCCAAUUUGGCCUGCCGAACUGCGCGGGCCGGGCUAGGUAGGGCCGGUAUUUUUUGGGCCUUUAAAACUUAUUUCUUCCAUCUUCCAAACAAGUCCAUACAACACCGAAGAAUUGUGUGAAAAAUAUUGAUGUCAAUAUCAUCACUUGUUCCCCAAAUAUAUUAUCAUUCCAAUUGCAAUUGGAGUGAAUAGCAAUCCUUCAGCGAGCCAACGAAAAUAACGCAUUUUUUUUUGCUUGCGAACAAUCUCAGUUUGGUCAUGUACCUUCUUCAUCAUAUGUUUGGCAGUCACAUUCGCAUCAUAUUGGGUAUCUUCGCCUAGUCGGAGGUUCACCGCUUGUUUCCCGAACCGUCCUGCCGCCUCCACAAGUGCUCAAGCACUUUAGAUCCCUCGAAUUUGUCCUUCUCAUUCUUCCACUUCAAUUGUACUUGUAAAACCAGAGACAGAGCAAGUAAAAAAUGAACGAGAAAGGAAACAAAAGGAAUAAGAAAAUGAAAACUGGAGUGGGAAAAAGGUGUCCUCGGGACACAGGUGGCUCAGAUUUUUCCCACGGUGGCAACACACUCCGGCAGCUCAAAGACCAAGGCACAAAGGGACGGGAAAGGUAGAUCGGAGCUCAGAUCUGACAGGUUCAGCCACCAAGAGUCAGGAAUCCGGUGGUCAGGAGAUCAUCAGCGUUAUCACCAAACAGGAAACCUAAGGUCAGAAAUCCGGUGACAAUGCUAUCAACAGGAUUGAAGCUCUAACUCUACGGUCACAGCUCCGGAGAACGGAUCGAAAACCAGAGGACAGAAGGAAUAGCAGAGCCUUCAAAGUGAUGAUCGUCACCUAGAACUUCUCCCAGUCGAUAGCUUUAAAGCCGACAACUUCUCCGCCGAGCACCGUGCAACUCCCGCCGCUACUUUUGUCGCGGUCUCUGACCCAACACAUCAACUCCACCGCUUUAUCAAUCCUCAAUGAGACAUACCACAACUUGUCCUCGAGACUCGCGGAUGUGGGAUGACUCUCUCCGCUACUUUUGUCGCGCUCUCUGACCCAACACAUCAACUCCACCGCUCUAUCAAUCUUCGAUUAGACAUACCAUAACUUGUCUUCAAGACUCUCGAAGACUCGCGCAUGUGGGAUGACUCCUGCCGCUACUUUUGUCGCGGUCUCUGACCCAACACAUCAACUCCACCGCUCUAUCAAUCCCCGAUGAGAUAUACCGCAACUUGUCCUCGAGAUUCUCGAAGACUCGCAGAUGUGGGAUGGAGAAGGCAAAACGAAUUUGCAUGUUGUAGUCUUCAGAAAUUGAGCUAGCCGUUGUCUUAAGCUAAUUUUCAAAUAAAAUUUUGAUGCAUUAGAUAAUUGGUUAUGGCUAAUUUUCAAAUAAAAUGUGUUUAUCAGGAAAAUUUCAUAUAGUCCAUUUAAAUAAAUAUUCGCGGCUCAAAAGUAGUGGUGGGCCAUGAUGGGUUUUUUGUGAAUAAAUAUAAAAAGAGGGAUAAAAAGUAAGGGGGUAAUGUACAAAAAAUGAAAUGUUCAUGUUUUUGUGAGACACUCCAAAAUGAAAAAAUGUUCAUGUUUUUGUAAGACGGAUGAAGUAGUUUAUUGUAUUAAUUUAUAAAAUGUGACAAAAAAAAAUUAGAAAUAUGCACGUACAAAAUGUGUGCAUAUUUNGUUCUUUUUUUUUUUUUUUUGUAGGGAUGAGAGCGGUUGGGAUCACUAAAUAAAGUAUUAUAGUUUUUUCGUAUUAAUUUAUCAAAUGAAACAAUUUUUUUUAAAAAAAUAUGGACAUGCAAAGUGUGUUGAUAACACUCAUAUUUUCAUGGUUUUAAUGUUCAUAUGAUAUUAAUUUUAUAAGAAAUUAAGUGUUUGAUGAUUAUUUUGUGCUUAAAUUGCUUUAUCUUGUGAAAUAUGAUACUUGCUCGCAGAAAUAUGGAGUUCAAAUUUGGACUACUAGUUUUAAUGAAAGUUGUAGAUCAUUGCGAUACGAAUUCUUAGACGCAAACGGUUCGCAAAUCCGAGUUCGGACGAGGAAGAUAUGGCCGAAACAAGAAAGUUGCGCGCAGUAGUGAAUAGUGCCCGACGGAAAUUUUUGAAUUUUCGGGAUUUUGCGCGAUUUUGGGAUUUUCUCAGUAUUUUCGAGUUCUACACUGUAUUUAUCUCUUGUGCCUAUAUAUAGGUCCAUUCCUGACCUAUUAGACAUAUCUCUUUACCUCUCUUCACCUCUUUUCUUUUUAUUUUUAUUUUUAGACUUAGAAUUUUAAUGCUUUCAUAGAUUGGAUUUCUUUUCCUGCAAGAUUCAAGAUUCAAGAUUUCAGGUGUUCAUCUUAAAUUCUUUCUGGCUUUUAUCUAUUUUAUUUAUUUCAAUUGCUUUCUUUUAUUUAUACUUUUAUUUUAUUUUAUGAUGUCUAGCUAGCUCUUUAUCUGAUUCUAGGGUUUGUAAAUAGUUAAUUAAAUUCAUGUGAUUUAUUUGUUAAUAUCUAUUUGUCUUCCAGUUUAUGAUUCAUAAUUCAUAGUGCUUGAUUUUUUGUGGAUUAUUUGACUAAUAAUUUGCAUGUGUAGUUAUUUGGUUUGAGACCUAGCAGAGAUAACUGUUUAGCGGAUUCAUGAAUGUAUGAUAUGAUUUUAACCUUGAGACAUAGCGGAGAUAGGUGGAUCAUAAAGAGCUAUUCUUAUGUGCUUUUGGGAGUUAGUAGAUUUUCUUGAGAUCUAGCGGAGAUAGAGAAUUUAGUAAUCUACAAUCGUUGUUGCUCUAGCGAGAGUAAUUGAUUAAUUGAGUGAUCUCUCAUCAUAAUUGGAUUAAACUAGUUAAUAGGAUUAAUAGGUUUGAUUAUGUGGAUUUGAUUAAUGAAUUUACUUUCCUAGAAUCAGUCGUUUUAUUAUCUGAUUUUAUACCUGUGUUUUAUUUGCUUUGUUUCAAAGUUUAGUUUUAAUUAAUUUUUUGAUCUGUUUGCUUUGCCUGAAUAUUGCUAGAGAAUUAUUAGAAUUACUUAGAGUAUUUUCGUUUUUCAAUCCCUAUGGAUACGAUAUUCGAUUGUUGUUUAUACUACGAUUACACCGUGUUAGUUGCAGUAUUUUAUUGCUAAUAAAUUAGUGAUCAUGCGUGCAUAUUUNUCUUUUUUUUUUUGUCAUAUUUUUUUGCAUCUGAAAAAUUCGUGCAAAAUUGACCCCAAGGUUUAAGGAAAUAAAUGAAAGUUUACAACAUAAAUUUAAGAGUCAAUUACCGUUUCCCGUUCAGGCAGAUCGGCGGAGGCACCGAGUCAUGGAGAAAAAGCCGAGUUCGACCUCGCUUUUCUUCAAGAGACUGAACAAGAAGGGGAGCGAGAGCAGCUUCGGCGGCGACAGUGGCAGUGGAAGUUGACGAGCUCCAUCGGCUUGCGGUGGAAGAAGAGCUUCGAGGUUGUGUGUUUGGUCUCCGCGCUCUGCUUCUUCUUCCUCUAUUUGUGUCAGUAUGUUUAGGUAGCAAAUAUGGGAAGUUCAUUUUUGGAUUGAUCACUUUACAAACACAACAAAUAUAAGUCACCUAAACAUACAGACACACACAUGAGGAUAGACGAAUUUGAGUAGUGACAUCAAUUCAAAAUAAUCUGCAUAAGAUAUGUCAAUUAUCAAACCAUCACAAUAACAAAAUGAACAACAAUAUUUAUAACUAAGCAUCUCACUGUAGGCCUUGGUUUUACUUCCGUUAAUUGAAUCGCCUUAUUUGAAGGUGUCUUGCAAAGCUCUUCUUCCACGACAAAUCUGUAAACAUUAACGACGGCAGCACCAACGAAACAAUUCAUCCGCUAAGAUGGAAUUUUCACAGGCACCUUAUCCUGGCUCGCUCCGACAAAAAAGUUUUUUCUUAACCAUCAGACAAUAAGCUCAAACUUGCAUUGAUUACCAUGGUCGACCCCACCCGGCCAUGUCUUGGAUGCAGUUAGACUCAUAGGAGAAUUUUAUUGAGGAGCUUUUGAUAUGUUACAGUUAUGAGUUUGUUGACAAUAUCUACUAAGCAAACCGAGUCCUUGGAAGAAUAUAUACACUAUUUGAGGGAUAUGUUUUGCAGCAUCCAUAAUUUUUUGAUGCUUAGUACUCCCUUCGUCCCACUAUUGUUGUCCUAUAACUUUUGGGCACAAAAAAUAUAAAGUGGUUAAAAGUGGUAGGACCCACAACUUUUGAAGAGUUAAUUGUUGUAUUUUAUGAAAAUGAGACAAUAAUAAUUGGACAACCUAAAAUGAUAAGUGAGACAAAUAGUAGAACAUAGAGAGUAUUUGGGUUUGGUGAUGUGCAGGUUGAACCCACCUUAUCUGAUACACAGUUAUCGAAUUGAUCCACCAUACUUGCCGGAAAAAAAAUAUUAUUACAACGUCAGGUUGUGGAACAUGAUGGGUGCCAAGUAGAGUAUGUUUUGGUGAAAUGGAAUGGGAUAAAUUCCAAGGAAGCAACUUGGGUGGGUGUGACUGACAUGCCAGGCCAAUUUCCAUAUGGGAGGGCAAUUAAUAGAGAUCAACAUCCUUAUCUGGUGUAUGCACAAAGGAAAAGAUCUCUCGUAGCUUAAUCAAUUGUUACUAGUUUAUCAUAUUUCAUUUUUAUUGUUAUUUCUUUGUGUAUAAAUUUGUUAUUUUUAGAGGCUAGUAUAAAUAGGGUUUUACAUUAAGGUUUGAAGAUUAUUCAAGUUAUCAUAUAAUAAGAACAGCAUCUCGCUGAAUUUUACUUCAAUUAAUUGAAUCACCUUAUUUCUAUCAUUGUGGCUUCAAAUAUUUGACAGGAUGCAAAUAAACAUAGCAUCAAUCACCAAUUUCCGAAAAAGAAGAAACACGACAAAAAUAUGAAAAUUAGAAUAUGGAAUUAUCACUUUACAAACACAACAAAUAUAGGAUCAGUUGAGUAGUGAAGGUAAUUCAAUUCUUUCUUCUUCUUUUUUUCACAUAACUAUGCAUUUGAUCAAGAAUCUAAUCUGGGUAAGGACUUGAGUAGUGGAGUUAAUUCAAUUCUUUUUUUUUUUUUUGUAAACUAUAACCAUGCAUUUGAUCAAAAAUCUAAUCUGGGUAAGAUACGUCAAACCAUCAAAAUAACAAAAUCAACAACAAUAUUUUAAACAAUUUGCUGUUGAUGAAAGACAAGUGUGUUCUAAUCUGGCAGUGAGCGUCUUUCAACUAAGUCCAAGGCGACAUAUCGGGUUUCUUUUAGUGAGAGACAGAUCCACCUGCAAAACCGUAGCAAGAAAUCAAAUCAUGCAACCAAGUAAAGAUUAAGAGUGAUAGAAAUUAACCACUUUUGGGACUUGCAACAUUAGAACUUUAUUAAAUAUAGGUCGAAGUAAACAAAAUGUGCGAUAUGAAUACAAAGGGAUCUCAUCAAAAGAAGUAAAAAUGCAUGAUUGAUAUAAUAACUUACUAAACCCAACACCUUAUUAAGCUUGAAAGUAAGCAAUGCGAUAAAGCAGAACAUCUUACCUUGUGGCCGAAGAGAUCUCUGAUGUUGUCAAUCCCGUAAAGAAUCAUCGUGGGCCUGGUAAAGAAAGAUGAAAUAUAAGAGAACAAAGGUAUUCAAAUAGAUCGUGGCAGAGCCACCAGAAAUAUCAUUAUAUGAAUUACUAAACCAAAAUGAUAGGAACAAAGGUCUAGUUGAUAUUCCCAGACCAAAACAGGUGGAGAUGAAAGCACUGCUUACCUCUCAAGUGAAAGACCCCAUGCUAUCACCUGCACAUCUUCCGGAAGUCCCAUUGGCCGCAACAUUUCAGGUCUAAACAUACCCGAGUUGCCAAUUUCAACCCAUUUCUUCAGACCUUCGUGAUAACUGA